UGGGGAAUUUUGCACAAUGGGGGAAACCCUGAUGCAGCGACGCCGCGUGAUUUAGAAGGCCUUCGGGUUGUAAAAAUCUUUUCUAUGGGAAGAAAAUGACAGUACCAUAGGAAUAAGGACCGGCUAAUUACGUGCCAGCAGCCGCGGUAAUACGUAAGGUCCGAGCGUUGUCCGGAAUCAUUGGGCGUAAAGGGUACGUAGGCGGGUAAGCAAGUUAGAAGUGAAAUCCUAUAGCUCAACUAUAGUAAGCUUUUAAAACUGCUCAUCUUGAGGUAUGGAAGGGAAAGUGGAAUUCCUAGUGUAGCGGUGGAAUGCGCAGAUAUUAGGAGGAAUACCGGUGGCGAAGGCGACUUUCUGGCCAUAACCUGACGCUGAGGUACGAAAGCGUGGGUAGCAAACAGG
rnacentral:rRNA from 1 species